GGCGAGUGGAGAAAGGUUCCGGCCUCAGUUACGAAAGCGGACUCUUCACUCUAGACGGAGACACUCAGUAUCUCCACACUCGUUUCUCCUCGCUGCAAACCGGCAAGCUCAGACGCUCGGAAACUUCCCGGUGCUUUUAGAACUGGGGUUCAAGGAACGACAGUAUCAUGAAGCCAGAAAAAGUGCUCCAUUACGAUUCUUUAGAAGGCAGGCGGUUUGGUUGACAGGUGCGAGGAGUAUCACCUUUGACCUUUGGUGUCAAGGGUUCCCCUUUGAGCAGCAAUGAAUGAUGACCGGAGCUAGAACAGGGAGCGAACUGGAGGUUCCAACUGAACACAGAUAACUCAUUAACCUAUAAUGGAUUAACCUAUUGUGAGAGCAGAAGCCGUCUGACCCACUCUUCCUGAAGACCACGCCUGCUCCCAUUCCUUAACAGCUCACCGUGGAGGUUAAGUUCCAACACAGGCCUCCAUCUCCCCCAACAAAUGGGUGGUACUCAAGACAGAAGACUGACACCUUGGGUCAAUGUCUUGAGUUAUAGGAAGUCCUUGGGACAUGUUCAGCCUCUGUGGUCUGGGCUCGGGGCAGGCCAGCGCAGCAGGACUGCAGAGGUUUUGGACAACCAGAUCCUGAUCACCUACUGGACUUCUCCAAGGCUUCCCAGGAAAGCAACUUUCUAGCCAUCCAUUUAGGAGGCUUUUUGUUUUUGUUUUUACUUUUCAAGACAGGGUUUCUCUGUGUAGCUUUGGAGCCUGGCACUCGCUCUGGAGACCAGGCUGGCCUCAAACUCACAGAGAUCCGCCUGCCUCUGCCUCCCUAGUGCUGGGAUCAAAGGCGUGUGCCACCAACGCCCGGCUCAUUUAGGAGGCUUUUAAUUGAGCUACUGAUUUCCAUAAUUGUUCUUCCAAAAGGCAGGCAAAUUGCAGCAGCUUUGAGCUUCCUGGAGAUGAGUUUUCUAUCCACCCACCCAGCAAGUAACCCAUGGUAGAUUGUGUUUCUAUUGAAAAAUUAGUUUAAAAAUGAACAGCUCUCAAAGGGGUCAAGAUCAUGCUGGGGAAACGCACAGAAACAGCUGACCUGAGUUAGUGGGAGCUCACUGACUCCAGACUGAGAGCUGGGGAACCCUGCA